UGACUUCAAGAUGCAUGUUUGUAUGACAGGUGGGACCAUAUAUUGAUUGUGUAGUAUACGUUUAUAGAUAACUAUUGUAUGAAUUGGCUAUUAAGUUGACUAUGGAUGAUUUGCAGCCAGCAGUUAGCUAUACUGUUAAACUUGCUCUAGCCCACUACUAGCUCCAAAUUAUCUAUAGCCAAUGUAAUAGCCAAUUCAUACAAUAGUUGUUUACUAUACUAUUAAUAUUUGGUCUCACCUAUCAUACACACAUUACGUCUUAUAUUUCAU
rnacentral:misc_RNA from 1 species